UGGCUCAGUUGGUAGAACAUGGUGUUUGCAAUGCCAGGGUUGUGGGUUCGAUUCCCAC
rfam:Salmo salar isolate Sally breed double haploid chromosome ssa16, whole genome shotgun sequence.